GUCAGGAUGGCCGAGCGGUCGCCAGACUCAAGGGUUUUUCUCCACGAAUGUGGGCGUGGGUUCGAAUCCCACUUCUGACA